GUUGGUGAAUACAACAAAACGAUGCCUACUGACUUUCAUCGGCCGUACAUAGCGACAGGCGAUGAACAAUUGUUUGUGCACGAACACUUAAGCAGAAGUCAUUUCGACAAAGAGUACAAGUCUGACCAACGCAUAGACUACCGAUAUUGAUUUCAAUGUAGAAAAUAGAUACAUGCCAAAAUCAGAUCUACAAUUUAAUAGGAUGUCUUUUUUAUUUAGAAUUGAAGGUGUACAUUUUAUUCAAUGCCAUUAAACAAUAAACAAAUUCCAAGGCAAACAUUUAUUCAUUCAUCGCAUAAAUACUAUCAGCGAAUCAUCGCCAUUAACAAGCUAGUAAUAAACUAUAAAUAAACAUCGAGCAAUCGAAGAGAAACAAUACAUAGGUCUUAUAUGGAGGUGGGGCCAGUGUCCAAUAUGCUAUACACGAUAGUGUUAGUGAAAGUUACAGCAUACAUUAAUAGUUAACAAAUAAAGUUAAAUCAUAUACUGUAUUAAUAGUAAGUAAAUACUGUUAAAUAUUAGAAAAAUGUAUAUUCGGAGGAUUUAAAACCCCGAAAUAUCAAAAACAGACUGCAGAAGGUAAUGCAGCGCAACAGCUGAAUGGGAAAUAUGUACGAAACUUUCUCCAGGAUUUAAAGUAACUUAUUUUGAAUAUUAUUUUAUCCGCAGUUUAUUAAAAGAAAAUCUAUUUUUGUACAUUA